rnacentral:rRNA from 1 species
UGGGAACGUACCCUUCAGUUCGGAACAACCCAGGGAAACUUGGGCUAAUACCGAAUACGUCCGUAAGGAGAAAGAUUUAUCGCUGAAGGAUCGGCCCGCGUCUGAUUAGCUAGUUGGUGAGGUAACGGCUCACCAAGGCGACGAUCAGUAGCUGGUCUGAGAGGAUGAUCUGCCUCACUGGGACUGAGACACGGCCCAGACUCCUACGGGAGGCAG